rnacentral:rRNA from 1 species
AUUGAACGCUGGCGGCAGGCCUAACACAUGCAAGUCGAACGAGUGGCGGACGGGUGAGUAAUGUCUGGGAAACUGCCUGAUGGAGGGGGAUAACUACUGGAAACGGUAGCUAAUACCGCAUACCAUCAGAUGUGCCCAGAUGGGAUUCGCUAGUUGGGGGGGUAACGGCUCACCAAGGCGACGAUCCCUAGCUGGUCGGAGAGGAUGAGCAGCCACCCUGGAACUGAGACACGGUCCAGACUCCGACGGGAGGCAGCAGUGGGGAAUAUUGCACAAUUGGCGCAAGCCUGAUGCAGCCAUGCCGCGUGUAUGAAGAAGGCCUUCGGGUUGUAAAGUACUUUCAGCGGGGAGGCGUUACCCUCAGAAGAAGCACCGGCUAACUCCGUGCCAGCAGCCGCGGUAAUUC